rnacentral:rRNA from 1 species
AACGUAGGAGACAAACGUUAUCCGGAGUUACUGGGCGUAAAGGGCGUGUAGGUGGUUUCGUAAGUCUGGCGUGAAAUUUUUCGGCUUAACCGGGAAAGGUCGUCGGAUACUGCGGAGCUAGAGGACGGUAGAGGCGUGUGGAAUUCCGGGUGUAGUGGUGAAGUGCGUAGAGAUCCGGAGGAACACCAGUGGCGAAGGCGACACGCUGGGCCGUACCUGACACUGAUGCGCGACAGCAUGGGGAGCAAACAGG